GUGUUGCGCCGGAUGAACGGGAAUCAUUGAUGUUGAUUAAUAUAGGAUAGAUUAUCUUCAAUACUAGAAU
rnacentral:tRNA from 1 species